AUAUAAUAUUUAUUUCAUUUAUAAAUUUAUUUAUUUAAAAUAAUAAUAAUGUAAAAAAUUUUAGUAAUAAAAAUAAAAUAAUUUUUAAAAUUAUAAAAAAUGUAUUGUAAAAGAUAAAUUUAUUAAAAUUAAAGAUUAAUUAAAUUUUAGUACCUUUUGUAUCAGGGUUAAUUAAAAAUUUUUAUUUAAAUAAAUUUUUCGAAAUUAAUUGAGCUAAAAUUAUGUAUUAAUUAAUAUGUUAUUAUUAUUAAAAACUUAGUUUUAGAAAUUAAAUGUUAUUCGUAAUUAAUGAUAUCUAAUUUUUUAAUAAAUAAAUUUAAUUUAACAAUUUAUUUUAAUAUUAUUAAUUAAUUAUUUUUACUUAACAAUAAAAUAAAUUGAAAAAUUUUAAGGGAUAAACUUUAAAAUUUAUAUUAAAAUAUAUUUUUAUAAAAACUCUAAUUAAAUAUAAUUUAAAAUUUUAAAUUUCUGAAAAAAUGUAAUAAUUUAAAUUAAAAAUAAUAAAAAAUUUUUGUUAAAAAAAUUUAAUGUUAAUAUUAAAAUAUAAUUUUAAAUUAAUAUAAAUUAAUAAAAAUGAUUAAACUAGUAAAUAAUAUAAUGUUUCAAAUUAUUAAUAAAUAUAAAAGUUAAAUUAAUGAACUAGGCAAAAAAUUAUAUUUACCUGUUUAAUAAAAACAUGUCUUUAAAAUUAAUGAAUUUAAAGUCUAAUCUGCUCAAUGAAUGAAAUUUUAAAUAGCUGCAAUAUUAUGAUUGUACAAAGGUAGUAAAAUAGUUUGUCCUUUAAUUAGGGAAUAUAAUAAAAGAUUUAAUAAAAUAUAAACUAUAUAAAUUUAAUUAAAAAUUAAAAUUUAUUUUUAAGUAAAAAAUCUUAAAUAAUUUUAUUAGACGAUAAGACCCUAUAGAAUUUUAUAAUAACUUUAAUUUAAAUUAAUUAGUGAAUUAUUUAAUUAAACAGAUUAUUUUAUUGGGGGAAUAAAAAAAUUUACUAAUUUUUUUAUUAAUAUUAUUAUUAAUCAAUGAAUUUUAAGAAGAGUGUUAUUUUAUAAAUUAUUAAAUUAAAUUACCUUAGGGAUAACAGCAUAAUUUUUUUAAAAAGACCACAUUUAAAAAAAAGAUUAUGACCUCGAUGUUGAAUUAAGAUAAAUAUUAAAAGAAGAGUUUUAAUUAUUAAGUCUGUUCGACUUUUAAAAUCUUACAUGAUUUGAGUUAAAAUCGGUGUAAGCCAGAUUGGAUUUUAUCUAUAAAUGUAUUAUAAAUAUUUGUACGAAAGGACUAUAUUUAUUAAAUUAAUAAAAUUAAUUAUAAUGAAUAAAAAUAAAAUAAAAAUAAUUUUUUAUAUAUAAAUAUUUCAAAAUAUGAUUA
rnacentral:rRNA from 1 species